CAGGCACCUAAACCCAAGGACUACUGUUUGCGGUAGCAGCAGUUUAAGCAAAGGUGCUAACAGCAAGCAGAUCUCAUUGCCUUGGGGGCUGUGCCUCUGCCCCUCAAAAUGAAUCAAGAGGUUCUACACCC